AUACGGAGGGUCCAAGCGUUAUCCGGAUUCAUUGGGUUUAAAGGGUUCGUAGGCGGAUAAAUAAGUCAGUGGUGAAAUCCCGAAGCUCAACUUCGGAACUGCCAUUGAAACUGUUUAUCUUGAAUUUAGUUGAAGUGGGCGGAAUAUGACAUGUAGCGGUGAAAUGCAUAGAUAUGUCAUGGAACACCAAUAGUGAAGACAGCUCACUAAGCUAAUAUUGACGCUGAUGAACGAAAGCAUGGGUAGCGAACAGGAUUAGAAACCCGAGUAGUCC
rnacentral:rRNA from 1 species